AUUGAACGCUGGCGGCAGGCCUAACACAUGCAAGUCGAGCGGAGCGGCGGACGGGUGAGUAAUGCGUAGUAACCUGCCCCCCUCUCUGGUAUAACAGUUGGAAACGGCUGCUAAUACCGCAUUGUGGGGGAUGGACUCGCGUCCUAUCAGCUUGUUGGUGGGGUAUUGGCCUACCAAGGCGCCGAGCCGUACCUGGUCUGAGAGGAUGAUCAGUAACACUGGAACUGAGACACGGUCCAGACUCCUACGGGAGGCAGCAGUGGGGAAUAUUGGACAAUGGGCGAAAGCCUGAUCCAGCCAUGCCGCGUGUGUGAAGAAGGUCUUCGGAUUGUAAAGCACUUUAAGUUGGGAGGCGUUACCAACAGAAUAAGCACCGGCUAACUUCGUGCCAGCAGCCGCGGUAAUAC
rnacentral:rRNA from 1 species